GGUCUCGUGGCGUAGCGGUUUAUCGCGUCCGGUUUUGACUCAAUUCCACUUCGUGGUUUGGCUAUUCCGGAAGGUCGCCGGUUCGACCCCGGCCGGGACCU
rnacentral:tRNA from 1 species